CACAUCUACCAGACUCUCUGGGUCCCUUCACUUCCCGAGGGGAUUAGCAGCCGCUCACCUCUGCCUUGGGCCAAUGGAAUUGCACCGCCUUUGGGGUCUGCUCAGCCUCUAGGGGUCUUCACUCGGGAGGAGGGCGGGGCAGGUGACGCAGCUAUAGCCUCGGCUUCUGGGAAUGGGCGGGCCAUCGACCCGGGACCACCAGCGCCAACCCAGGCUCGCCUGCGAGUUUGCUCCUCCUGUGCUGUUUAAAAGUUAUCCAUGGGAAACACAGGUGGAGGCUGAGCUCUGAUGACUAUGGGAAGUACAGAGGGCCAGCAGCCCCUAACCACAGUUCAGAAGUAUAUGACACACAGAAGAUGAAAUGGUAAACAAUUGAAUCGGAAGACAGAGGAAGCACAAUCUAAGUCUCUAGAGCAAACAAUAAAAACAAUUAACUUUAAAUAGGCAUA
ensembl:antisense Gm38186 predicted gene, 38186